rnacentral:lncRNA from 1 species
UCGGGGUCACCGUGGGGCCGGGGCUCUGCAGGUUCUGCGCGCUGGGGCUCCUCUGCUCUGACGUCCGUGGGUCUGGGGGCUGCUCGGGGGGCUGCUGGCGCUCCGGGGACAGGGUGAAGCUGCCCUGCAGUUCGACGGGGCAGGAGUACUGCAGGAAGGGGUCCCCAAGGAAGGGGUUGGCGUACAUGUUCACGGGUAUGGCUGCGGAGACAGACACGGUGCUCGCGGUCCCUGCGGCCACCAGCCCCGUGCCCCGUGCCCCCAGCACCUCCCGUCCCCAUCCUGCAAGCGGGGGCACACCCUGAGGGGUGAGGGGACAGGGACGGGGACCCCGGGAGCUGCUGCCUCCACCUGGGUGCUGCGGGGCUGCGGGGGCUGCAGGACGCCCCCACGGGUGGGCACAGCGCGGGGGCUACGGGGUGGGGGUGGCGCAGGGAGCCCUGUCUGGGGGUGCCCACGGGGAAGGGUCCGGCCGGGGGUCCCACACGCGCCCCAGGCCCUGCGGUUACACUUGUUCCUGGUGGCGACGGGGAAGAACGCGGGGCCGAUCUCCGUGCCGCUGAGGGACGGCUCAGGCGUGGUGCCGUGCGGCUGCAGGUUGAACCACAUGGGUGAUAGCGGCGCGCUUUGGUUCUGUGCCGGCUCCCUGUCCCGCGCUGCGCUCGCUGCGGGAGGGGGGCAGGUUUUAAGCCCUGGUCCCCCCUCCCCAGCAGCCGGCUCGCCGCGGUGCCGGCCGCCCCUGACCUGCGGUGCCGCCGGGGAGGUCUGCGGGGCCGUCGCGGGGCGUGGAGCGCCUGGAUCUCGUGCCGCAGCUGGUCGUAGCAGGCGAAGACGGAGAGCCCGGCGCGCGAGGGGCGGGUGGCGAGCAGCGGCUGCAUGGCCCCCUGCCCCGGCCCCCCGAUGGGUGAGGGGGCCGGGGGGCUGCUCCCGCCGGGCAUGGGGAGCCCCUCGAGGUGGUGGUCAGGCAGGGGAGGAUGGUGCCAGCCGCUGCCGGGGCGUCUCCAUCCCGGGGCACGCGUGGUUCCGAGGGGGAUGUCACAGAGGACCCCCCCCCGGUGCGUGCCCACCCCCCCAGCACCAUGGUGCUGGGUCCCGGCAGGCGCCCGAACAGCCCCUGCGAGGAGGGAGGACCCCCCCGUUGCCAGCCCACCAUGAAGUGCUGCAGCCACUGCCCGGGCAGCGGCGUGCCGGACCCCGAUGCGCGGCCACCCACCUCCUGUGGGAGCCCCUCCUGCUGCCUCGACCCCCGGGGGGGCUGCACCGGCAGCCCCCUGCCCUGCCCCGGCCCCGCCAAGCACCCCGGCAGCCCCAGCGCGUCCGCACGCUCUGCCGAGAGCCUGGGGGGCUCCGUGGGCUCUGCCGACGCCGCCUCGUCCGCCGGCAGCACCAGCCUGAAGCCGGGCGUGGAGGAGGCGCUGGGCACCAUGCUGGCCGCCUCCUGCACGCUCAGCCCGAAGCCGGCGUCGGCGCUGGGCCCCGCCAUCGACCGCUCCUUCAUCACCACCAGCCUGGCCGCCCAGAUGCUGGAGGAGUUCCUGACGAAGCAGGUGCCGGCGGCGGCCACCGAGGUGUCCCCGGACGUCCCCGAGGAGAGCAACCGGCAGGGCCCCGUGGCCCCCACCGCCUCCCUGGAGAGGCUGCGCCGGCACAACCGCCGCUUCCAGCGGGCCAAGGCGCGCUUCCAGGGCCACGGCGAGAUCCCGGUCCAGGCGCUGCUGCCGGGGCUGGAUGGGGGCGGUGGGACAGCCCCCCGCCACGGCACCCGGCCCGAGCCACGCCACGGCCCCCCCUGGGACAGCCACGGGUGCCGCGGGCAGGGCGGCGAGGUGCUGUGCCGCGGCACCACCUGGCACGCCGUGCACGGCUGCUGCGGCACUGUGGAGGUGCUGAGCGGCGCCUGCCCCUGGGAGCGGGAUGGUGGAGCCGCGGCGUGCCGGGAGUGCGGGUGCAGCUGGGGGCUGCCCGGGCCCCCGGUGCCCCCCGUGCCGUGGCUGAGGCAGCGGGACGUGCACGGCUGGGCCACGCACACCACCACCGCCUGCACCACGCUGGGCCACGAGUCCCGGAGCUGCCACGGAGCCGCCACCGCCGUGCUCAGGGCGGGGAGGGUCCCGCACUGCGAGCCCCCCGCCGACAACCAGGUAGGCAUUGCGGCGCACGGUGGGCUGCGGCCGGGCAGGAUGCUCGGCACGCGGCAGCACCAGCAGCUCUGUGCCUGCAGGGCCCCCCCGGGAUGCCGAGCUGCAGCCACGCAGAGCCGGGCACCAGCGCCCUGCGUGGCUGCGGCUGCGCCCCCCACUGCAGCCGGGGCAGGAGCGUGGAGGAGCCGUGCCGGGAGCCGGACGGGGAGCGGAGCCGCCUCCGGCGCCGGGAGCCAGCGGGGACCCUGGUGCGGGGCAGGGACCCCGGGGGGGAGCCGGAGGGCCCGGUGGCCUGGGCGCCCCCCCAGCAGCGCCUGGGUGCCAUGAACACGGUGCAGCUCAUCGCCAAGACCUUCGAGCUGCGGGCGCAGCGCGACGCCGCGCAGGCUGAGCGCGACCGGCAGCCCCCGUUCUGUCGCAGGGGGGGGACACUGGAAACCUGCCCCCCGGAGCCACGGGGACCCUGCUCCCCGGGGUGCUGCAGGGGGCUCCCCCGGGCCCGGGGCUCGCU